rnacentral:rRNA from 1 species
CAAGGCUGAGGUGUGAUGACGAGGCACUACGGUGCUGAAGUAACAAAUGCCCUGCUUCCAGGAAAAGCCUCUAAGCAUCAGGUAACAUCAAAUCGUACCCCAAACCGACACAGGUGGUCAGGUAGAGAAUACCAAGGCGCUUGAGAGAACUCGGGUGAAGGAACUAGGCAAAAUGGUGCCGUAACUUCGGGAGAAGGCACGCUGGUGUGUAGGUGAAGCCCCUGCGGGUGGAGCUGAGACCAGUCGAAGAUACCAGCUGGCUGCAACUGUUUAUUAAAAACACAGCACUGUGCAAACACGAAAGUGGACGUAUACGGUGUGACGCCUGCCCGGUGCCGGAAGGUUAAUUGAUGGGGUUAUCCGUAAGGAGAAGCUCUUGAUCGAAGCCCCGGUAAACGGCGGCCGUAACUAUAACGGUCCUAAGGUAGCGAAAUUCCUUGUCGGGUAAGUUCCGACCUGCACGAAUGGCGUAAUGAUGGCCAGGCUGUCUCCACCCGAGACUCAGUGAAAUUGAACUCGCUGUGAAGAUGCAGUGUACCCGCGGCAAGACGGAAAGACCCCGUGAACCUUUACUAUAGCUUGACACUGAACAUUGAGCCUUGAUGUGUAGGAUAGGUGGGAGGCUUUGAAGCGUGGACGCCAGUCUGCGUGGAGCCAACCUUGAAAUACCACCCUUUAAUGUUUGAUGUUCUAACGUUGGCCCCUGACCGGGGUUGCGGACAGUGUCUGGUGGGUAGUUUGACUGGGGCGGUCUCCUCCCAAAGCGUAACGGAGGAGCACGAAGGUUAGCUAAUCCUGGUCGGACAUCAGGAGGUUAGUGCAAUGGCAUAAGCUAGCUUGACUGCGAGCGUGACGGCGCGAGCAGGUGCGAAAGCAGGUCAUAGUGAUCCGGUGGUUCUGAAUGGAAGGGCCAUCGCUCAACGGAUAAAAGGUACUCCGGGGAUAACAGGCUGAUACCGCCCAAGAGUUCAUAUCGACGGCGGUGUUUGGCACCUCGAUGUCGGCUCAUCACAUCCUGGGGCUGAAGUAGGUCCCAAGGGUAUGGCUGUUCGCCAUUUAAAGUGGUACGCGAGCUGGGUUUAGAACGUCGUGAGACAGUUCGGUCCCUAUCUGCCGUGGGCGCUGGAGAAUUGAGGGGGGCUGCUCCUAGUACGAGAGGACCGGAGUGGACGCAUCACUGGUGUUCGGGUUGUCAUGCCAAUGGCACUGCCCGGUAGCUAAAUGCGGAAGAGAUAAGUGCUGAAAGCAUCUAAGCACGAAACUUGCCCCGAGAUGAGUUCUCCCUGAGACUAUAAGUCUCCUGAAGGAACGUUGAAGACGACGACGUUGAUAGGCCGGGUGUGUAAGCGCAGCGAUGCGUUGAGCUAACCGGUACUAAUGAACCGUGAGGCUUAACCUUACAACGCCGAAG